UGGAAGGUGAGGGACGUGGAGGCACAGGGCCCGAGCUGAAGCCAAGGCGGCUGGAGGUCUGCAAGUGGAAGGCUGCUGGCAGAGGGCUGGCUGGGAGCAGUUCAUUACGGGACCUUCCAGCAAGCAGAGGCCUGGGACUUGCAGAAGCAACUGACUUGGACACUGAUCACUGAGUGAAGAUCAGAAGACUUUAGUCUCAGGGUAAUGAGGCCACCUGGAUUUAGAGCAGCCAUGGGCUUCCUGCUGAGGUGAUCUCUUCGCUUCCAGACCCUGGUGGGGAGAACCCAGCCAUG